rnacentral:lncRNA from 1 species
UUGCUUCCCUGUUGAAGUGAAGAUAUAAAUGUUCCAUUCUGACCCACCUUUGAAAAACAAUUACUUUGCCCCAUGGAUUCUUUGUUCAAUUAGAAAUUUCCCCGGGGCAGGUGACCCAUAGUCUUAAAGAACAGGCUAAACACCACAGAGAGAUUGGUUGCUUUUUGCUUUUCAUCACCUGCAAGAUGUACAUAAAAAUCACAUAAGCUGGAAUUCAACAAAAGGGCCUCACUCUGUCACCCAGGCUACAGUGCAGUGGCAUGUUCAUGGCUCACUGCAGCCUCUACUUCCUAGGUUCAAGCCAUCCUCCCACCUCAGCCUCUUCAGUAGCUGGGACUACAGGCAUGCACCACCACUCCU